GUGAGGGCGACCGAGCGUGGGGAGGAAGCGUGGAGCGAAGCCGUGAGCCGAUGAACAAGAAUCGGAUAUCAAGGCGCUGUCAGGCAGGGCGAGCAGGCGGGACACUGCGAAGCUCUUAUGGCCAAGGCGUGGCAGCGUAAAUCCGGCGGCUGUGCGGUGACGGAUCGUGUU
rnacentral:ncRNA from 1 species